AUUGAACGCUGGCGGCAUGCCUUACACAUGCAAGUCGAACGGCAGCACGGGAGCAAUCCUGGUGGCGAGUGGCGAACGGGUGAGUAAUAUAUCGGAACGUGCCCAGUCGUGGGGAUAACGUAGCGAAAGCUACGCUAAUACCGCAUACGAUCUAUGGAUGAAAGCGGGGGAUCGCAAGACCUCGCGCGAUUGGAGCGGCCGAUAUCAGAUUAGGUAGUUGGUGAGGUAAAGGGCUCACCAAGCCGACGAUCUGUAGCUGGCCUGAGAGGACGACCAGCCACACUGGGACUGAGACACGGCCCAGACUCCUACGGGAGGCAGCAGUGGGGAAUUUUGGACAAUGGGCGCAAGCCUGAUCCAGCAAUGCCGCGUGCAGGAUGAAGGCC
rnacentral:rRNA from 1 species